rnacentral:rRNA from 1 species
UACGUAGGGUGCAAGCGUUAUCCGGAAUUAUUGGGCGUAAAGAGCUCGUAGGCGGUUUGUCGCGUCUGCUGUGAAAACUGGGGCUCAACCCCAGCCUGCAGUGGGUACGGGCAGACUAGAGUGCGGUAGGGGAGAUUGGAAUUCCUGGUGUAGCGGUGGAAUGCGCAGAUAUCAGGAGGAACACCGAUGGCGAAGGCAGAUCUCUGGGCCGUAACUGACGCUGAGGAGCGAAAGCAUGGGGAGCGAACAGG